AGACGUCUACAUUAGAUACCCCUGUAGUCCCAGCCGUAAACUAUGCGCGUUAGGUGUAUCGGUGACCACGAGUCACCGAGGUGCCGAAGGGAAACCGUGAAACGUGCCGCCUGGGAAGUACGGUCGCAAGGCUGAAACUUAAAGGAAUUGGCGGGGAGCACCACAACAGGUGGAGCCUGCGGUUUAAUUGGAUUCAACGCCGGACAUCUCACCGGAUAAGACAGCUGAAUGAUUGUCAAUCUGAGGGUUUUACAUGACUAGCUG
rnacentral:rRNA from 1 species